rnacentral:rRNA from 1 species
AGUGAACGCUGGCGGUAGGCCUAACACAUGCAAGUCGAACGGCAGCACAGUAAGAGCUUGCCUUUACGGGUGGCGAGUGGCGGACGGGUGAGGAAUACAUCGGAAUCUACUUUUUCGUGGGGGAUAACGUAGGGAAACUUACGCUAAUACCGCAUACGACCUACGGGUGAAAGCAGGGGAUCUUCGGACCUUGCGCGAUUGAAUGAGCCGAUGUCGGAUUAGCUAGUUGGCGGGGUAAAGGCCCACCAAGGCGACGAUCCGUAGCUGGUCUGAGAGGAUGAUCAGCCACACUGGAACUGAGACACGGUCCAGACUCCUACGGGAGGCAGCAGUGGGGAAUAUUGGACAAUGGGCGCAAGCCUGAUCCAGCCAUACCGCGUGGGUGAAGAAGGCCUUCGGGUUGUAAAGCCCUUUUGUUGGGAAAGAAAAGCAUCAGGUUAAUACCCCGCUGUUCUGACGGUACCCAAAGAAUAAGCACCGGCUAACUUCGUG